GACGAACGCUGGCGGCGUGCUUAACACAUGCAAGUCGAACGGAAAGGCCCUGCUUUUGUGGGGUGCUCGAGUGGCGAACGGAUGAGUAACACGUGAGUAACCUGCCCUUGACUUUGGGAUAACUUCAGGAAACUGGGGCUAAUACCGGAUAGGAGCUCCUGCUGCAUGGUGGGGGUUGGAAAGUUUCGGCGGUUGGGGAUGGACUCGGGGCUUAUCAGCUUGUUGGUGGGGUAGUGGCUUACCAGGGCUUUGACGGGUAGCCGGCCUGGGAGGGUGGCCGGGCCCGGGGGGGGGGAGGGACCGCGGGGACUCGGAUGAGGGGCAGAAGUCCUGAGGGGGGGACAAGGGGGGAAAGUGUGAAGAAGGGGCGAAGCGUGAGGGAACAACGCCUGCGGGGGGAGAACGGCUUUCGGGUGGGAAACCGGUUUCCCUUGUGUGUAGGGGGGUUGACGGUAACUGGGUAAAAAACCCCGGCUAACUACGUG
rnacentral:rRNA from 1 species